rnacentral:ncRNA from 2 species
CCACUCGAUAGAGGCGCGGGCGAGAAGAUCCGCGGGCGAGCCGGCAGGCGUGGACCCCGCGGGGAGGCGAGCCCGCCGAACUCGGCGCGCGGGCGCGUGCGCACGGGUGGGCCUGCGGGGAACACCCGCAGGACUGUCUGCACGUAACCUGCAGGAGCGCUAUCAGGGAG